CCACUAUGCACAAUAAGUCGCACCACUAUGCACAAUAAGUCGCA
rnacentral:sRNA from 1 species